GCAAUAGAGCCUUAUUAGACAUCAUUAUUUGCUUUUUAAAAUAGUAAUGGUUCUGCUAUUUUACUGUUUCCUAGAGGAAAAAAGUUGCUGACUCAAAAUUAUAAUGUAAAGGAAUACUUGAUUAGUGGCUCUCCCCUUCUGUUCUAUGAAAUGAAGUGGCAAAUUAUUAUGGAAACUAUGCCAAGAAGCAAAUUAAAUUGGUGUGUCUAUAAGGACCAGAGCUUUUUAUGUGGGGUAUCUCUGUGGUCAUAGCUAUGGCUUCAAUUAGUAAUGGACAAGUGUGUGAAGAUGGGACCAGUUGACUUUGUUGCUCCAUAUUUCUGUUUCUAUAGGCACAAAGGGAGAAGAGGAGCAAAGUACAUAGAGUUACCACAGCAACAAAUUCAAAUUCAGUAAAUGGCUUUAAUAUUGAUGUUGUAUCCAAGAGAGGAUUAAGAAGAUAAUACUGCAGUGAGGUGUUCAUUGGAAGUUUAGAAAACUGAAAAAAAUUAACUGAUACAGAAAAAAAAUUUAGUUCACUAGAGAGGAAUGAGAAAUUCCAAGGGGACUUUGGCCUCCAACAAAGAGAUGCGAAACAAGUUCUCCAAAGAGAUUAAGGGAACGCACUACUGUAAGAAAUAAAGAAAUAUUUCAUAUAUCAAGAUGCUGCAACUUGAGUUCAGACAAAAACACUCCAGUUUCUGAGCUAUUGCAUUGCUGUGGAGUAAAACCAAUUUCCCAUUCUUUGACUCCAGAUCCAUAAUACAGGAGUGGACACUGGUGCAUAAAAGGAACUGUUAAUGGCUGUCAUUCAGUAUAGAGUAACUGACAAAAAGGGAUUCGAAUGUUUUUUCAUCUGACUUUUUGUUCAAAUGUACUUUUUUCAAAACAAAAACCCAGCAACCCAGAGAGCUGUGAAACUAACAAAUAUUAGUAUUAGAAAAUCCAAUUAUACAAAAAAUAUUUCAUCUAAGGAAAGAUAGACAAUUUUUAAUAUACAUUGAGCUGCACAAAUCACACAAUAACUAACACUAACAUGAAAUCACAGAACUGAUGCUUUGCUACAGCUGCAUGAGGCUGUCUUUGACUGGGUCCCAUUUUCAAAUAAUUGAAUAACCAAAGUUAUACCAAUAAAAACCUUAUAAAAGGUUUUUCUCUGAAAUGACUCCCCAUUUAUUCGCCAGAGGAUCCUAUAGCUGACAUUAAGAGGAUGUGUUAGGUAUGAAAGUAGUCAAAGUCCAAUUCACAAGUGAUCACCUUUUCUCAUUUUAAAAAGAAGCAAGAAUAAAUGAAGUGAGCAGAACCAAGAGAUAUAUACAGUAUACAGUAACGGCAAGAUUAUGUGAUGAUGAAUUAUGAUGGAUUUGGUUCUUUUCAACAAUGAGAUGAUUCAAGGCAAUUCCAAUAUACUUGGGAUGGAAAGAGCCAUCUGCAUUCAGAGAGGGGACUCUGGAGACUAAAUGUGAAUCAAAGCAUAUUAUUUUCACCUUUUGUUUGCUUGUUUGUUUGUUUUUUAAUUCUCUUGUGUUUUUUCCCUUUUGUCUCAUUUUUCUUAUGCAUCAUGAUGAAUAUAGAAAG
rnacentral:lncRNA from 1 species